rnacentral:lncRNA from 1 species
CCCUGGAAGUAUUAGUUGGGUGAUUCUCUGUCUUGGUCUGGUCAGGGCCUGUUUCUGGAUGAGAGGUUUUCAGUUCCUCCAGUGAGUUGUGGGCUUCCAAGAAAAGGGGUGAUAACAGCCAUAAUGGGUUAGCUGUUAUUCUCAAUUUUUAUUGCAUUAGCCUUAUCAAAUUUAUUCCUUCUGCUUAAUUCACUGAAUUAGAGAGCCCUGAAAGGGAAUAAUGAGUGGAAUAUCUCACUUUCUUGCCACUUUGCCAGUUUUGCUGUAGAGAUUUUUUGCAUUACAGAUUUCUUACCUAGUAACUGUAGCCAUUGUUUGAAUCUUAUCUUCGUCCUUUUGUGUGUUAGACUGGUUGGUCUUUUGUAACUUAGGACUCAUAGACUAAGUUAUCCCAUCUAAUGAGCCCUUACUGGUUUUGUUUGGUUUUAGCUCCUUGGCUUUUGAACAGUCCUGCUAACAGGACUGCCAUGGAAAAAUUGAAACAUUUCUCUGCAGUUUAAACUUUUUCUGACUUGUGUAAGGAUGGAUCCAGAUUGGAAGGUUUGAAUCUGCAGGUUAAUGAACAAGACCUUGCUUGACCCAUGAAAUUUCCUGCAUGAAUUUUUGAUAAAAAAUGCAAAGAUUUUUUCAUUGUUGUCUUAAUUUUCUAGGAAAAACUACAUGCUUUGACAGAAUUCAGAGGACUGGAAGACAUUGUCUGCAAACUAAAACUUCUUGAUCUGAAAAAUGUUACUGUAGUCCUUCCUCUUCCAACAUUAGCAUCUGGACACCUGCGGGUCCUAUUCUGCAAGGCUGAGGCUGCGAAGCACCUUCGACCCUGUGCCAUGGUCUUUCCUCUUUGAAUGGAGUGCUGGAAGUAGGGGAUCCCUCAAAGUCAUGGGUGAUUGGUGUUGUCAUUUAAUUGCAUUUCGCAGUGCUCAGAAUGCUGGUUCCCACUGGACUCAACUUGCUGGGAUGUCUGCAAACUCAAAGGUUUCUUUCAAGGGAUCAAACAUUCCCUGAAGUGUGGUAGAAGGCAGGAAGAAUGACACUUGCUAAUUUGAAUUUCAGAAAGC